rnacentral:rRNA from 1 species
AGAGUUUGAUCCUGGCUCAGGACGAACGCUGGCGGCGCGCCUAACACAUGCAAGUCGAACGAGAAAGAGGGAGCUUGCUCUCUUGAUCGAGUGGCGAACGGGUGAGUAACGCGUGAGGAACCUGCCUCAAAGAGGGGGACAACAGUUGGAAACGACUGCUAAUACCGCAUAAGCCCACGGCUCGGCAUCGAGCAGAGGGAAAAGGAGCAAUCCGCUUUGAGAUGGCCUCGCGUCCGAUUAGCUAGUUGGUGAGGUAACGGCCCACCAAGGCGACGAUCGGUAGCCGGACUGAGAGGUUGAACGGCCACAUUGGGACUGAGACACGGCCCAGACUCCUACGGGAGGCAGCAGUGGGGAAUAUUGCACAAUGGGGGAAACCCUGAUGCAGCGACGCCGCGUGGAGGAAGAAGGUCUUCGGAUUGUAAACUCCUGUUGUUGAGGAAGAUAAUGACGGUACUCAACAAGGAAGUGACGGCUAACUACGUGCCAGCAGCCGCGGUAAAACGUAGGUCACAAGCGUUGUCCGGAAUUACUGGGUGUAAAGGGAGCGCAGGCGGGAGAACAAGUUGGAAGUGAAAUCCAUGGGCUCAACCCAUGAACUGCUUUCAAAACUGUUUUUCUUGAGUAGUGCAGAGGUAGGCGGAAUUCCCGGUGUAGCGGUGGAAUGCGUAGAUAUCGGGAGGAACACCAGUGGCGAAGGCGGCCUACUGGGCACCAACUGACGCUGAGGCUCGAAAGUGUGGGUAGCAAACAGGAUUAGAUACCCUGGUAGUCCACACCGUAAACGAUGAUUACUAGGUGUUGGAGGAUUGACCCCUUCAGUGCCGCAGUUAACACAAUAAGUAAUCCACCUGGGGAGUACGACCGCAAGGUUGAAACUCAAAGGAAUUGACGGGGGCCCGCACAAGCAGUGGAGUAU